GUGUCAGCCGCCGCGGUAAUACGAACUGUGCAAACGUUAUUCGGAUUCACUGGGCUUAAAGGGUGCGUAGGCGGCUUGCCAAGUAGGGUGUGAAAGCCCCCGGCUUAACCGGGGAAUUGCGCCCUAAACUGGCGAGCUGGAGUGAGAUAGGGGUGUGUGGAACUUCCGGUGGAGCGGUGAAAUGUGUUGAUAUCGGAAGGAACGCCGGUGGCGAAAGCGACACACUGGGUCUCAACUGACGCUGAGGCACGAAAGCCAGGGGAGCGAACGGGAUUAGAUACCCCCGUAGUCC
rnacentral:rRNA from 1 species